AGCGAACGCUGGCGGCAGGCUUAACACAUGCAAGUCGAGCGGGCAUCUUCGGAUGUCAGCGGCAGACGGGUGAGUAACACGUGGGAACGUACCCUUCGGUUCGGAACAACUCUGGGAAACUGGAGCUAAUACCGGAUACGCCCUUAUGGGGAAAGGUUUACUGCCGAAGGAUCGGCCCGCGUCUGAUUAGCUAGUUGGUGGGGUAACGGCCUACCAAGGCGACGAUCAGUAGCUGGUCUGAGAGGAUGAUCAGCCACACUGGGACUGAGACACGGCCCAGACUCCUACGGGAGGCAGCAGUGGGGAAUAUUGGACAAUGGGCGCAAGCCUGAUCCAGCCAUGCCGCGUGAGUGAUGAAGGCAUUAGGGUUGUAAAGCUCUUUUGUCCGGGACGAUAAUGACGGUACCGGAAGAAUAAGCCCCGGCUAACUUCGUG
rnacentral:rRNA from 1 species